AUUGAACGCUGGCGGCAGGCCUAACACAUGCAAGUCGAACGAGUGGCGGACGGGGGAGUAAUGUCUGGGAAACUGCAUGAUGGAGGGGGAUAACUACUGGAAACGGUAGCUAAUAACGCAUCCCAUCAGAUGUGCCCAGAGGGGAUUAGCUAGUUGGUGGGGUAACGGCUCACCAAGGCGACGAUCCCUAGCUGGGCUGAGUGGAUGACCAUCCAAACUGGAACGGAGACACGGUCCAGACUCCUACGGGAGGCAGCAGUGGGGAAUAUUGCACAAUGGGCGAAAGCCUGAUGCAGCCAUGCCGCGUGUAUGAAGAAGGCCUUCGGGUUGUAAAGUACUUUCAGCGGGGAGGCGUUACCCGCAGAAGAAGCACCGGCUAACUCCGUGCCAGCAGCCGCGGUAAUUC
rnacentral:rRNA from 1 species